rnacentral:rRNA from 1 species
GAUCCUGGCUCAGGAUGAACGCUGGCGGCGUGCUUAACACAUGCAAGUCGAGCGAAGCACUUAAGUUUGAUUCUUCGGAUGAAGACUUUUGUGACUGAGCGGGCGGACGGGUGAGGUAACGCGUGGGUAACCUGCCUCAUACAGGGGGAUAACAGCUAGAAAUGACUGCUAAUACCGCAUAAGACCACGGUACCGCAUGGUACAGUGGUAAAAACUCCGGUGGUAUGAGAUGGACCCGCGU